GUUUGAGCUGUCACGUUGUCCCAGAAACAGAUGCAAAUGAACACUGGGAGGUGUGAUAUCAGGAGAGCAGUAUCUGUGGGGGCCCUGGGGCCUGCUGGGGAAGCCGGAGUACAGCCUCCUGUGGAGAGGGCCUCCGGUGGAGGGGCCAGUGUGCAGAACAAUGAGGGGAUCUGCUCACCGGCUUUAGAGGCGAGAAUCUGGGAGUGAGGAGGUUACCCGGGCGCCUCGUCUCUGCUUUUCCAGAUAUUGUGCGCUUAACGGGCAGCCUGCAGAACAGGGAUGUGCCCACCCCUCUCUCUGCUGCCUUGAAAUCUUCAAAACAAGAGUUGGAGGUCGGCUGCAGCAUCCUGGGAAACACGGACUCCUUCAGGGUGCGGGGGAGGAAAGGGAGUGGCUGAGGAGCCAGACAUCUGGGUCUGGAUCGGGGCUUCCCCGCUUUCUUGCUCUGUUUUGAUAAGGGAACUGAGACUUAGAAGAUUAAGCAACUCCCCUGUGGUCACGUUGCAGGAAGAAGGCAGAAGCAGCCCUGUGGAUUAAGACCCUAGCCCCAGAAGACGCAGAACCUUUGACCUCGAGCUGCCCUGUGGAAUCUGAGCCACCUCUGGAGAAACUCAGAAUGACUGAGCCUGUUAAUGGACUCCAUCCCUUUGUGGAGUAUCUGAAAUUGUGGUCAUUUAGAGCAUUAUUAUGGAAUUGUUUAUUGACCUGUAUAAACACAUACACCAUUUAUCACUAUAAAUGUAACAGGUGCCUCCCAGGCUGCCAGCUGGAGGUACUUUAGGGUCCCCAAAUAGGAACAGAGCAGUAUUUUUCAGGCUCGGCUCUCUUCACAAAGAACUGCAGAAACCUCAGACUUCUUUAAAUUCCCCCUUUGGGUUCCAGGCAGGAGAGGUUUGGGGGAGGGACUCUGUGGCAUCUAGCAAAUUGCUGUCUUUCUCCACAUUCUACAUAGUUACCUGACUUUCCAUGGAAAAUGCUAAUGGUAGAGCAACCGCUCACGACACAUACUGCUCUUGUCUUUUUCAUCUCGAUGGAGGGGAGUUCUCAAUAUUUCACAGCAAUGGCCUCAUUCAUUCAUUCAACAAACACUUAAAUUGAAUGCCUAUUAUGUGCUAAGUAUUGCUCUAGGUUGUAGGAUUAUGGCUCCAAACAAAGCAGAUCCAGUCCCUCCUCUCACGGCGCUUAUAAUCUAGUGAGAGAAAGAGAUGCUCUAUGAACAAGUCAGUACAAGUCAGGCGGUGACAUGUGCUACAAAGGAGAGUAAGGCAAGAAAAGGGGUGUAGAGCAGCGGUGGAGUGGGUGCUAUUUAAUACAGAGAAGGUGAUAUUUGAGCAGAGAUUUGGAGGAAGCGAGGGAGUGAGCCGUGUGGAUAUCUGAAGAAAGAGCAUUCCAGGCAAAGAGAUAGCAAGUUCAAAGGAAUACAAGCAGGUUUGACAUAUUUAAGGAACAGCAAGAAGGCCAGUGGAGAUGGAAGGGAAUAACGCAGGGAGGGGAGGGUAGGAGCUAGUGUGGGCAGGUCACAUGGGACCUUAUAGGCCACGUUGUUCCAUUGAGUUGUUCCUUUGAGUCUCACUCAGAGUGAGACAGGGAGCACUGAAGGGUUCUGAGCAGAUGAGGGAGAUGGUCUGACUUCUAGUUUAACAAAGUCUGAUGGCUGUGUGGAGAACAGACUGUAGCGGGUGAGGGGCGAGGGCAGAAGCAGUGCUAUCAGUUAGGAGGCCCCUGCACUUGUCGAGGGGAGGGACGGGGACGGCUUGUAAUAGGGUGAUAAUGGUGGCUGUGCUGAGCAAUGGUCAAAUUCUGGGUAUAUUUAGAAGGAAGGGUUAACAGAAUUUGCGACGGUUUGAAUAUGAGUGUGAGAGACAGAGAGGAUGACUCUAAAGAUUUUGGCUUUAGCAAUUGGUUAAAAUGGAAAAGUCAUUUACUGAGGUGGAGACAACUGAAGGAGGAUAAGGAGGAUUAGGUUUGGGUGGUAAAACAGGUGUUCCAUUUGACAUAUAAAAUGUUGAGUAAGUGGUUGGAAAUGGGGGUUGGCAUAAGGGGAGAUUUGGGGUUGGAGAGAUACAUUUGGGAGCCACAGCAUACAAAGAUAUUUCAAGCCAGGUACUAAACGAAGUCAGAGGGAGUGCAGAUGAAGAAGAUGCAGUCUAAGGAUGGAGUCUGAAGCCCUUUGAUGCUUAGAGGUCAGAAGAGAGUGAGAAAGAGUGACCACUGAGGUCUUCUUGCAAAUAAAGUGAAGAAAGUAUUUCAAGAAGGAAUGAUCAAUUGAGUCAAAUCCUCCUGAUGGGUUAGGUUAGAUGAAGACUUAGAAAUGAAUACUGGUUUCGGCAAUGGGAGAUCAUUGGAGACCUUAAGCAAUCUUGACGGAGUGUGGGAUUGAAAGCCAAACUGGGGGGAAUUCAAGAAAGAAUCGAAGGAGAAGUAGAAAUGCAAGUACACACAAGUCUUUGUGGUAGUUUUGUUGUCAAAAGGGACAGAAAGAUGUAGCUAGAGGUGGAGAUAUAGGGUCCAGGGAAGUUUUUAAAAAUAAAGUUGUGUGUGCAGCAGAGUGUUUGUAUGAUAGUGGGAUGAUCCAGUAGAGCAGAAAAAAUUGAUGGAGCAGGAGGGAGAUGAUAUAACUGUAGGAACUGUGUCACUGAGCAGAUGAGAGGGGCUGGGAUUCUGUGCAUAAGCGGAAGGCUAGGGCGUGGAUGACUUACCGCGCGAGAGAAGGCAGUAUAUGGGCACAGAUGCAGAUAAGAUGGCUGACUAAGUGACGGGAGUGUGCCCAAGUCCUCUUUUGACUCUUCUGUUAGUGAGCUGAGAAGCAAGCUCAGGGGCUAAGAAAGAGAAUGAAGAGUGCUGUUGGAAAUUUGAAGAGAGGUGAGAAGGAAUGAAAUAGUUGUCUGGAAGAGCGGCAAAGUCCAUCGACAAAGAAAACAUAGCGAAUUUGAGGCAGAGCCAAGGUCUUACUUGAGAAUUUGAAGCAAGACAUGUCAGUGCGGUUUCCACUUUUUUUCUGGCCAUGCUUAGUUACUAGGUGGAAUAGGCUAAACACUGGAGUUUUGUUGGAUGAUGGCAGAGGGAGACAGUGACCAAUCACUGAUGGACUCUUAAUGAAAAAUGAAUGGAGAAGAUACGUGUCACUGCUGGUAGUUGUUUGUCUACAUUAAGCCACAGAGCACACUCUGAAACUUGCGCAAAGUUAAUGGGACAGAAAUGUCAUUUCAUCCAAGGCCCUCCCCUAUGACCCUGUGUAUUAUACCGCUGCCGCAGUGACGUGCCCCAAGCUUCUCUCCCAUCCAGACACAGGAGAGAUAAGCCCAGAAAGCAUGUGAUUAUAGGAUAGUCCUUGGUCCCCAGUGGCUGACGGGGCUGUCAUAUCACCAUUCCCUACUCCUGACCCCCGGCAUCUAGUCAUUUUCUUUUUCCAGCCCAGCCAAGAAUUUGGUUCCUCAAGUAGCAGGAGCCCUUCAGUUGUGUCUGGAAUGUUCCCUGGCUGUAUAUGCACAGAAGGGGUCUCAAUGCUUGCACCUCUGUCAUCAAAUUGCCCCAUUAAUUUGUUUUCUUAGUGUGUGGAUCCUCUAGUUCCCAGGAAACUUGAGGAAUAAAUAAAGUGGAUAUUUAUUUAUAUUGUUGAGGUAGAGAUCCACUCUUGCAUUUAUUUAGUGAUAGACUUAAGAAUGACGAGAAAGCCUUCCUUUCUUUUGAAAGCCCUCUGAAAAUGUUUGUUCCAAGUAAGACGUUCUGUUUAAGCGGCACUGAUAUCCGUGUUCUGUGAGCUUAGAGUCACGGGUACAUCACUUGGAAAUGGCCCUCUGUUUUUCUGAGGCUUAAUAUGUAUCUUUCUCUCAAAUUAACUGAAAUUUUCCAUUAAACAAUGAUGAUCUUGCAAAAGUUUCCUCUCACACGUACCACGUCUUGACACACAGUGUCCAACAGGCGGUAAUACAAAAUUGGAAUCACAGAAACGGCCUUCUGUUAUUGUCCUGGGAUCAAAAGUCGAAAAUCAUAAAAGUGCCCCGCUGAUCUUUCCAACUGUCCUUAAACUUUUCUUCUAGUACUGUGUGCCCAAGGCAGCCAAACCCUUGUAUGCAUGUUUUUUUGUAUGACUUGGAAGUAUACAUUUUCUUACCAUAUCAGAUGUUUCUUGCGUUUGUGCUAUUCAAGAUUUCUUUCCUGAAACCCAGCCUGCUUUUAACUUGUGCCCUUUCCAAGUGUUAGAAAUGGGACUGAGGUGCAGCCUCUAUGGAGAACAGUAUGGUGGUUCCUCAAGAAAUUAAAAAUAGAGGAACCAUAUGGUCUAGC